AGAGGACAAACCCUACCCCGCGCAGCCGCAGCCUUUUGCCGCGUCGGACACCGGUGCGUGCUCGAGCUCCACCAGUCGCUGCCGCCAUGUCGCUGAUUGCGGGGGAGGACUUUCAGCACAUCCUGCGUUUGCUUAACACCAACGUGGAUGGCAAGCAGAAGAUCAUGUUUGCCCUCACCUCCAUCAAGGGUGUCGGCCACCAUUUCUCCAACAUCGUCUGCAAAAAGGCCAACAUCGACAUGAACAAGCAGGCUGGUGAGCUAUCCUAGAUGAGCUUGAGCGCCUCAUGACUGUGGUUGCCAACCCUCGCCAGUUUAAGGUCCUUGACUGGUUCCUCAACAAGAAGGACUACAAAGAUGGUAGGUUCUCUCAGGUUGUUUCCAAUGCCCUCGACAUGAAGCUCAGGGAUGACCUUGAGAGGCUCAAGAAGAUUGGGUCAGUCUAUUACCAUUGUUUUUGUGUUAUUAUUGAUUUUCUAAUGCUAUAUAUAAGAUGACAUGCACACAUAUUUGUUGUCAUGGCAUUGCUAAAAACAUUAGUUGCAUUUUUGUCUUCAUUAGUGAUGUCACGGUUUUCAUAAUUGUACACAACAAGUGUACGCUAAGGAAUUUUUCAUUUGUGUUCGUAACUGUUAUAUGCACUUCUCCCAAAAUUUGCUUGCGGUUUGUAGUUGUGUUUUGUAUGCGACACAGAACCUUGUGUUAUCCAGGAACCACCGAGGUCUCCGUCACUACUAGGGCCUGCGUGUCCAUGGCCAGCACACCAAGACUACUGGAAGGCGUGGAAAGACUGUUGGUGUGUCAAAGAAGAGAUAAACUCCUUGAGGCAUAUUGAUGCCUAUCUUGGGAGUUUGGUGAGUAUGUGGAAAAUUUGCGCUUUGUUAUGCCAAUAGGAUGUUUAUUAUCUGUAGGAUAGAUGAUAUGUUCUAGUUUACAAGGCUUCUAUGUAUAUUGUAGCAAUCUUUUGAUGCCUGUGUUCCAAGCGAGUUGUGAGUUGAAUGCUUGAUAGUGCUUCCUUUGUGUCGUGCUUUG